rnacentral:miRNA from 1 species
AGUUCAUUUGUCCAGGGCGGCUAAGAGAAAUGUAGAAGUUUUGCAUAUGCUAAUGAGCAUAUGCAAAACUUCUACAUUUCUCUUAGCCGCCCUGGACAAAUGACUC